AUUGAACGCUGGCGGCAUGCCUUACACAUGCAAGUCGAACGGCAGCGGACCUUCGGGUGCCGGCGAGUGGCGAACGGGUGAGUAAUAUAUCGGAACGUACCUUUCAGUGGGGGAUAACGUAGCGAAAGUUACGCUAAUACCGCAUAUUCUGUGAGCAGGAAAGCAGGGGAUCGCAAGACCUUGCGCUGAUUGAGCGGCCGAUAUCAGAUUAGCUAGUUGGUGAGGUAAAGGCUCACCAAGGCGACGAUCUGUAGCGGGUCUGAGAGGAUGAUCCGCCACACUGGAACUGAGACACGGUCCAGACUCCUACGGGAGGCAGCAGUGGGGAAUUUUGGAUAAUGGGCGCAAGCCUGAUCCAGCCAUGCCGCGUGAGUGAAGAAGGCC
rnacentral:rRNA from 1 species